CUCCUCUUUUCUCUCGCAAUAUCCUUAGGGUUUCUAAUUAUUGUUUUUCUUUUUCCCUCACUGCCUUGGCUUCUCUCCAUGCUUUUCAAAAUCCUAGGGUUUUGCUUCUCAAGAUUAUCUCCGCGGUCUCUGCGUCAUGGAGCACAGGAGGCAAGCCAAGGACUCACUCUCUUAUUCCAAUCUCUUUAAUCUUGAGUCUUUGAUGAACUUCAAAGUUCCACAACCGGAUGAUGACUUUGAUUAUUAUGGGAAUAGUAGUCAGGAUGAGAGCAGAGGUAGCCAAGGUGGUGCAAUGGCAAAUUAUGGUAAUGGGACUAUUUCGGAGAGGGAUUUGAGUUUAGCUAAGAGAAAGAAGCGGUCUAAUAACAGUGACAGAGAGGAGGGAGACGGAUACUACGGUACACACAUCACGG
rnacentral:misc_RNA from 1 species